GAUGGAAGAACGUAGCGAAAUGCGAUAAGUAAUGUGAAUUGCAGAAUUCAGUGAAUCAUCGAAUCUUUGAACGCACCUUGCGCCCUUUGGUAUUCCGAAGGGCAUGCCUGUUUGAGUGUCAUAUAAACCUUCACCCCUGCUUUUGUCUAGUACAAGGACAGGCCGGUGCUUUGGGCGUCUGCCGUUUACUCUGGCUCGCCUUAAAUGUCUAAGUGGAUUUUGCGUGAUUAAGUCUUCGCAGAGAUGUCCACUCUAAUCAACCUUAUAUUUUGACCUCAAAUCAGGUAGGACUACCCGCUGAACUUAAGCAUAUCAAUAAGCGGAGGA
rnacentral:misc_RNA from 1 species